AAAAAGGCGAUGAACGGAAAGAGUAAGUAUGUAUUCUGCCGCAGAGAGGGAGUGUCACCGGCUGCAAGCAUUCCCGGCAAGGACAGCUGAAAGUGCCUCCGGGAGCUGAUCCGGUGAAAGGAAGAAAUUCCCUUUAACCGGGUACGUUUACGCACGUUACGCGAUAUAAGUGCAGGCUGUUAUUUUUUAUGGCCUGAAGCAGAGUGGAACCGCGGCUUUAACCGUCUCUUAG
rnacentral:ncRNA from 1 species